rnacentral:rRNA from 1 species
CGAAGGGGGCUAGCGUUGUUCGGAAUCACUGGGCGUAAAGCGCACGUAGGCGGAUGUGCCAGUCAGGGGUGAAAUCCCGGAGCUCAACUCCGGAACUGCCUCUGAUACAGCACGUCUUGAGUUCGAGAGAGGUGGGUGGAAUUCCUAGUGUAGAGGUGAAAUUCGUAGAUAUUAGGAAGAACACCGGUGGCGAAGGCGGCCCACUGGCUCGAUACUGACGCUGAGGUGCGAAAGCGUGGGGAGCAAACGGGAUUAGAUACCCUGGUAGUCCACGCCUUAAACGAUGGAUGCUAGCCGUCAGCAAGCAUGCUUGUUGGUGGCGCAGCUAACGCAUUAAGCAUCCCGCCUGGGGAGUACGGCCGCAAGGUUA